UACAGAGGUCUCAACCGUUGUUCGGAUUCAUUGGGCGUAAAGGGUGCGUAGGCGGUCGUGCAAGUCGGAUGUGAAAUCUCAGGGCUCAACCCUGAAACUGCAUUCGAUACUGCGCGGCUAGAGUGCUGGAGGGGAGACUGGAAUUUACGGUGUAGCAGUGAAAUGCGUAGAUAUCGUGAGGAAGACCAGUGGCGAAGGCGGGUCUCUGGACAGUUCCUGACGCUGAGGCACGAAGGUCAGGGGAGCAAACGGG
rnacentral:rRNA from 1 species